rnacentral:rRNA from 1 species
CCUACGGGAGGCAGCAGUGGGGAAUAUUGCACAAUGGGGGAAACCCUGAUGCAGCAACGCAGCGUGAGUGAUGACGGCCUUCGGGUUGUUAAGCUCUGUUUUCAGGGACGUUAAUGACGGUACCUGUGGCGUAAUCCACGGCUAACUACGUGCCAGCAGCCGCGGUAAUACGUCGGUGGCCAGCGUUGUCCGGAUUUACUGGGCGUUAGGGGAGCGUAGGCGGUCUUUUAAGUGCGAUGUGAAAUACUCGGGCUCAACUUGAGUGCUGCAUAUCAAACUGGAAGUCUAGAGUGCAGGCGAGGAAGAUGGAAUGCGUAGUGUAGCGGUGAAAUGCGUAGAGAUUAGGAAGAACACCAGUGGCGAAGGCGAUUCUCUGGACGGUAACUGACGCUGAGGCUCGAAAGCGUGGGGAGCAAACAGGAUUAGAUACCCCUGUAGUC